rnacentral:tRNA from 1 species
GACUCCAUAGCUAAGUGGUUAUAGCAUGAGAUUGCAGAUCUCAGGGUCGCGUGUUCGAGUCACGCUGGGGUCU